CAAGGAAUUUUGCGCAAUGGGCGAAAGCCUGACGCAGCAACGCCGCGUGAGGGAUGAAGGCCUUCGGGUUGUAAACCUCUUUUAUCAGGGACGAAUAAUGACGGUACCUGAGGAAUAAGCUUCGGCUAACUACGUGCCAGCAGCCGCGGUAAUACGUAGGAAGCAAGCGUUAUCCGGAUUUACUGGGCGUAAAGUGGACGUAGGCGGCCUUUCAAGUCGGAUGUGAAAUCUCUUGGCUUAACCAGGAGGGGUCAUCCGAUACUGUUGGGCUUGAGGGCAGCAGGGGAAGGUGGAAUUCCCGGUGUAGUGGUGAAAUGCGUAGAUAUCGGGAGGAACACCAGUGGCGAAGGCGGCCUUCCAGGCUGUUUCUGACGCUGAGGUCCGAAAGUGUGGGGAGCGAACAG
rnacentral:rRNA from 1 species